rnacentral:rRNA from 1 species
UACGGAGGGGGCUAGCGUUGUUCGGAAUUACUGGGCGUAAAGUGUGCGCAGGCGGCCGCGCAAGUCGAGUGUGAAAGCCCCGGGCUUAACUUGGGAAUUGCGCUCGAAACUACGUGGCUGGAGUGUGGCAGAGGAAGGUGGAAUUCCAGGUGUAGCGGUGAAAUGCGUAGAGAUCUGGAGGAACACCGAUGGCGAAGGCAGCCUUCUGGGCCAACACUGACGCUCAUGCACGAAAGCGUGGGGAGCAAACAGG